AUAUUGAAACACCGGUUCCUGUACGAUCACUGAAGUUAAGCAACCAACGUCGAGGCUGGUCAGUACCCAAAUGGGUGACCGUUUGGGAAUAACAGAUGCAGUAA